GACGAACGCUGGCGGCGUGCCUAAUACAUGCAAGUAGAACGCUGAAGGAGGAGCUUGCUUCUCUGGAUGAGUUGCGAACGGGUGAGUAACGCGUAGGUAACCUGCCUGGUAGCGGGGGAUAACUAUUGGAAACGAUAGCUAAUACCGCAUAAGAGUAGAUGUCGCAUGACAUUUGCUUAAAAGGUGCAAUUGCAUCACUACCAGAUGGACCUGCGUUGUAUUAGCUAGUUGGUGAGGUAACGGCUCACCAAGGCAACGAUACAUAGCCGACCUGAGAGGGUGAUCGGCCACACUGGGACUGAGACACGGCCCAGACUCCUACGGGAGGCAGCAGUAGGGAAUCUUCGGCAAUGGACGGAAGUCUGACCGAGCAACGCCGCGUGAGUGAAGAAGGUUUUCGGAUCGUAAAGCUCUGUUGUAAGAGAAGAACGAGUGUGAGAGUGGAAAGUUCACACUGUGACGGUAUCUUAACAGAAAGGGACGGCUAACUACGUG
rnacentral:rRNA from 1 species